GUUUCUCUUUCUUUGCUCAUCUUAUUUCAUCUCCCUAUGUGUUUCUUUCUGCCGAAAGAUCUCUUUGAUCGUCGUUCCUCUUUCUCUCUGUAAGGUAAGAUUUGUACUGCCUUCUUAUUAUUUUUCAUGUUUUGUGCUUCGAUUGCUGUCUUUACUUCUGUUGUGUUGUCGUGUAUAUAUAUCAUGUCCGCUUCCUCCAAGAGGAAGCCGUGACGCCGGUGCGGCGUCGUUUUCUGCCGUUCAGAUUGGUCGUCGUCGGAAGUGCCGGCCUUUCCAUGGGCUUUCGGUUCCUUUCUGACUUUUCCGUUGAUGAUUUGAAGCAAACAUAUCUUUCCACAAAAAGAUAGCCCUAACGAAAACCUCCCACCUCCGACGACGUAUCAAAUGUUUCCCACCGUCGCACCGGACACACCAUCGCGUUGCCCGAGUCUUAUAUUAUUGUUGUCGUUUCUCUCCGCCACUGCUUCGCUCUAAUUGCUCAUCGACUCCGCUGCUCUCUCUCCCAAAAAUGACACCCUAAAUGACUGAUGGGUUGCCGACGGUGAGGCGCUGCAAGGUAGGUCGGUUGAAGGAGUCCAGAGCAUCUAUUGAUUCCGAUUUGGGGGUGUUUGGGAGAUGGCUACCAAUGUCCGUUCAAGGAGACGAACUAUUGAUUUAGUUUGCAGUUUCGUCGAUUAGCAAUGGAGGUUAGACAGUUGGAUUCAUCAAGGAAAAUCACUAUUCUGAACAAUGCUUCAAGUGAAUUAAUGCAGGUAAUGUCACGUCUUUGGUGGUUCCAAUUGCUACUCUGGGAGCCGUGAGUUAUGGAUACAUGUGGUCGAAGGCCUGAAUUCGAAUCUCUAAUAUUCCAAUUGAUUGAAAACAUUCUCUGUCUCAGUAUUUCUUCCUUUGUGUAAGAAGUUUGAUCUGUUCAUCUUUUUGUCUCUCAAUUUUAUAUGUUAGGGGUUUUCUUUCUCAUACCUCAUUUAUGUGACAAAGCAAAAUAUGUAAAAUAUUGUCUGAAACUUGACAAAACAUCUGGUCUCAGAUGCCCUUGAUUUACAGUUAUUUAGAGAAUGGGAAUCAGUCCAUACUAUAAAUUCUCCAUCAAACUUAAAGAGAUGUUUUUUUUCUUGGAAUUGUCAACAUUCUCAUAGUUCUUAAAGGUCCAUGCUUAUUGAAUUCAUCUGAUUCAGCCCAACUCAGGUGGGGAGGCAAAUUAUGCCACAAUGUCUGCUUCAACAAUCAACAUAGGUUGAACCAAAUAGGAUGUGUACUGUGAUAUUUGUAAUUUCAUGAUUAUCCCUAAAAAUUAAAUUUAUGAAGGGAAAAUCAUAUCACAGGUGGAGUUUGGGGUGUGAAGAACUGCCACCACUACAGUUCAUUGCAACCACCUGUGUGGUUGUUAAACUUAACUAUCAGAACUAAUUAUUACAACAUAUUAUCCAAUUCUUGAUUAUCCAUGUUGGAUAACAUUUCAGUAUUGCUAAAAGUAUUCAACAAAGCAGCUAUUUCAUCAUAUCUUUUUCCAUGUGCAAAUGUGACCACACUCUUUCAGCCACUAAUGUAUAUAAGUUGGCCAUUUUGACAUUUAGGGAGGUUUUUUGAGGUACUAAUAGGGGCCAGAUCAGAGCCUUCACAACAGCUUUUUAGCUAGGUUGUAGUUCUAUACACAUUGGAACCAAUUUUCCAAGUUAUAUUUAUUGUGGAUAUAAACACAAUAUGGGAGAAGGUUAUGUCUAGGUUAAGAGCUCAAAUGUUGGGCAACGUUUUGAUUCACAAUGUAAUAUCAUUUGCUUAUAUUUUCACUGUUGAAGCAUUUUUUCCAUAUCUAACACUUUUUUUAUUGUA